rnacentral:rRNA from 1 species
AGAGUUUGAUCAUGGCUCAGGAUAAACGCUGGCGGCGCACAUAAGACAUGCAAGUCGAACGGACUUAACCAUUAGUUUACUAUUGGAGCGGUUAGUGGCGGACUGGUGAGUAACACGUAAGCAACCUGCCUGUUAGAGGGGAACAACAGUUAGAAAUGACUGCUAAUACCGCAUAUGCCUAAGUAUCGCAUGAUACAAUAGGGAAAGGAGCAAUCCGCUGAUAGAUGGGCUUGCGUCUGAUUAGAUAGUUGGUGUGGUAACGGCAUACCAAGUCGACGAUCAGUAGCCGG